rnacentral:rRNA from 1 species
GUGUCAGCAGCCGCGGUAAUACGGGGGGAGCAAGCGUUGUUCGGAUUUACUGGGCGUAAAGGGCGCGUAGGCGGCCUCCGCAAGUCAGUUGUGAAAUCUCCGAGCUUAACUCGGAAAGGUCAACUGAUACUGCGGGGCUAGAGUGCGGAAGGGGCAACUGGAAUUCUUGGUGUAGCGGUGAAAUGCGUAGAUAUCAAGAGGAACACCUGCGGCGAAGGCGGGUUGCUGGGCCGACACUGACGCUGAGGCGCGAAAGCUAGGGGAGCGAACGGGAUUAGAAACCCCCGUAGUCC